rnacentral:lncRNA from 1 species
UUAUUGGUCCUGAGGGUAAACGUCCUCCAAGUCUGUAUCCUGAUUGGCGCACAUUUUGUCUGGGCCUUCUCCGCCGGCGGGAGCAUGCCCGGGAUUUCCAAUGUGGCCUUAAAAAUAUCCGAGCCCGCCUAGCUGAGGCGCGCAGGCAGCAGCCGUUGCUGCGACGCCUCUGGUGUACUAAAUCUGGAGGGGAGGUUGGGCCCUCGAAGAGAAGGAGAAGACCCUCAAACCUUGGCUAACGGCGACAUAGCUGGCUUUUUGGAGAGGCCGCCUAACGGUCUGCCACUUCAUUGGAAUCAGCCUCCGCCCUUCUCAACUGGCUGCUGCGGGGCCAGUGGUGCCGGGAGACGAGGGCGGGCGCUCAGGGACGGUUCGAACAGUCUGGGGACUAUUUUCCUGAACUGUAAAAAUUCUCAAACAC